rnacentral:miRNA from 1 species
GACUGACCAUCUGGUUUGCCUGGGACUGAGGGGUUUCCCCGGACAUGGAACUUUCAGUGCUAAAACUGGG